CAAAAUCUUGGUGUUGCUUUUUCCAAUAAACGUUGGUUACAUUUAUCUAUGCUAUUUGUACCCGUCACCGGUUUAUGGAUGAGUGCUAUUGGCGUAGUUGGCUCGGCUCUGAACUUACGUGCCUAUGACUUUGUUUCCCAGGAAAUCCGUGCAGCAGAAGAUCCUGAAUUUGAGACUUUCUACACCAAAAAUAUUCUUUUAAACGAGGGUAUUGAUAUAGUGACCCACUAG
rnacentral:rRNA from 1 species